CUGGCGCCACCCUUCGGGACCUGCAAGGACCCAUUUGGGGGGACAGGAAGAGGCUGGAGGAUGGUUGGUGGUGGGCUUUCUGCUUUGCCUUUUCCUUCUCAUGCCGCCUUAGAGAGGGGCAGGAGUGCUGGAGGCAGCUCCGGGGUAGGGAUGUGAGCUCCCGGAGUAGGAAGAGCUGGGUUUGCUUCCGGGCCUAGCCACCAGCUGGCCGAAUGACCUUAAGCAAGUUACUCUGUAAUUUGUCUGCGCCUCAGUUUCCUCCUCUGCCUAUCUAUGCUUGAGAUUGAAAGCGCUUUGUAAACUACGAAGUGUUGUAUACGUAAAGGAUGAUUAUUGUUUGUAAUGUUUAUUGAGUUGCUAGAAAAUUUACCAGUUGCCAAAUCCCUCGGAUUUUGAACCUAGGAACCUUGGGUUGGAGUUGGAGACUUCCCAGACUCCCUGAAUUGUAUGUAAUUUGUGGGGAUAUGCAUAUUACGCGACUGAUGGUCCAUUGCUAGCAAGUUUUCAAAGGGGACUGUGAUCCAGAAGAGUUGUUGACAUUUUUUUUUAUACCACAGGGAGGAAACUGAGGCCUAGAUGUCAUUUGGGACCCUUCAUAACCAAUUUGAAGCCCCCGUUUGAGUCCCUGGGAUAUGUGAGCUGUUUCUAUGCAUAAUGGAUAUUCGGGGUAACAAUACUCCCUGCUUGGCCUCUCUUUAAUUCUUUCCUUUCACCAUGGGGUGCCUGAAGGGUGACUGAUGAAUAUGGUACAGUGGCAUCCAGUAUAAAGCAGCUACAGAUAGGAGUGGAUGUAGUCAGUUAUACCAAGAGGUGAAUUCAGUGUUUGGUCCAACAUUUGUUUUCUGCUGCUUAUAUUGGUGCCUGACUACCUUUUUGACUUUUAAAAUCGUUUUCCGUGACCGUGGUUGCCAUCCAUUACUUGAUCCUAUUUUCUAUCCCUAGUUUGUGUGGUUGGUGAUGAACAGGCUUAUAUUUAAAUGAUGGCGCCAAGCCUAGCUAAUUAAUGGUGCACGUGGAUUUUUAACAAGUGGGCUCACUGGAGCAGAUUGAACCACGCAUGGAAUUUCUAAAGCUAUUUUAGUUUUUGUUUAUUAAUUCAAAGUUAACAUUUUUCCAAAAAUUUUGUUAGAACACCUGCUGGACCUCAAAAUCAGUAGGUUUGGGAUGAGUCCAACCUUAACUUUUCCUGGCCUGCCUUGCAUUCUAAUUGCUUGUAACUGUGAUACUGAGAAGGCCAAAAUGCCAGUUUUUGUUUCUUUGUUGUCAGCUGCUUUUAUUAAAUUUCAGACCAUUGUCCAGUAAACACUAUAAAAAUGUUUGAACAGUUGGAUUUCAAACAUUUUCAUUUUGUAGAGUGGUGCUUACCAAGUGGUACAGCUCUAAGCAAGUGACUACAAACACAGUUAAGUGUAGUUUGACUGAGUAGAUGUUAACCAGUUCUGCUAUUUCAUUUAAAUGUCUGGAAAAAAAUUGACUAUUCCCUUUACCUAAAGGGCAGAGACAAAUGAUUUCCAGAAAAAUGACUGUUUUGGAGAAAAAUGUUCUUUAGCUCUUUUGCAAUUAAAUCUGGAUGUACCUCAAAAGACUUUAAGACUGUGGUGAUAAGAGGCUUUCCACCAGAGAAAGGAAAAAGAAAACAUCUGGAACUCAAAGUUUGAAAUUGAAGACAAAAGAUGUUCGGAUUGGAGGUUCAGAAGGUUUGGCUGCAAUGUUCUGCAAUCACUGAAGCAGAUACCUUUUAGGUAUAGCCACAGCUAUGGACUUCAGAUUUCCAGGAACUGGACCUGCUGCCUAGAAGAGUUUGUCAGGAUGUGGCAGGAACUCUGGAGGUCGAUUUUUUUUUUUUAAAUUACAUUUUGGAACUAUUGAUCUUGCUGUGAGAAAAGAAGUAACAACUGAGCAAGCACUACCACCACGCUGUUACUGGGAAUUAGAAGACCUGAAUUUCUGCCCAGACCCUCAGUGUAAACUGACAAAACUCCAUCGAAAGUAAAUUAUGUCCUGUGCCUCCUGAUUGCUGAGUGUUCACCUGGACCUUCUGACCACUUUCCUUCUGCUGGUCCAUCAGCCUACACAUCUGGUACUUGGACUUUUGCUCAUGGUGAUUCCUACCAACUUACUACUGAAGAAGACAUCAUUCCAGUGGACCACUGUGACCCAAGAGGCAUUCAUCCGUGAUGAUGUGGCCUAUACCUCCACUCCAGUUCUGUUCUGCCCAGAUUCAGUACAACCCUUUAUAGUGCAGAGUCCUCAAGCCAAAUAGCUAAAGCUAUUUUAUCACAACAGAAGCUCAGUUUAUUCCAUAACUGUGCAUUUCAUUUCUUCAGUGAAAGCCUUCAGAGACAUGUAAUAAACUUAGACCAGAGCAUUUUUAAUUAUCAACGCUGUCCAAAGAAAAACACCAUCUCUCUUAAGAACAGCAUUGGACCGCACACCCCACAAUCUCAAAUGAUUAAAGUUCAUGAACUGUCUAGGCUCCCAUGAAGGUCACUGGACCCUGCUCUUUUUCUACUUAAAAUCUGUAGUAGCCUACUGAAGGAGACCCAUUGGGAUCAAAACCAAGGCGCAGUGAAUUCUGCAUAGCAUCUUCUUUGGAAUUACUCAGGAACCUGAACUUUUCACACAAAUGUAAGCAAUUCUACCAAGGAAUCCCUUUACCUAAGAGCAUCUCUCAAGGCUCCAGAGUCAGAUUCCAGAAAUACACCAAGAUAAAACCUAUAUGCGUUUUGUGAACAACUUAUUCUUAGAUCAUUUGUUUUCGAAAGGCUAUGUGGCCAUGAAGCCAUUUGAAUGAAAACUAUGCGGAAGCCCAGAGUAAAAGUGAAGCUGCUCUGGAUGAAGUAGUGACGCAGGAGUGGGGGUCUGCAGCCUGCCACAAGCAUCUUCUUUACCACCAUGCUGACACCUACAGUGACUUCCUUACAACAUGCAGAACUCUUCAGAACAGUUUGGAAACCACUGCCGUAUACAACAUGUUUAACCUGAAUGGCUUUCUCAUCUUUUAUGAAUCUCCAUUCAAUAUAGUCCAUAUUGAGUUGAUGCUGAACAUUCUUAGGAAUAUUUACUGUGUGCAGACUUAGAAAAGUAUGUGUUGGGUGUGCCUUUGCACCCCAAAAUGUUCAUAUGGACAGAUUUGUGGCAAAUGAGCUUUUAUUACUAGCCCAGUAAUCAAGAUGGACUUCAGUGAUUCCUGGAAUUGGAUAUAGUCAGAGAUCAAUUCAUAUGCACCCUACACUGACAAAUGCUACUAAGCAGCGUUCACAAACGCCAGAUAUGCUAGUGGUACUUGAAGUACAUGACUGAAGUCUUGAACUCUUCUUGGAUAUGUGAAUUGCCUGCAAGCUAGAAUCUGAUGCCUCACUGAGGCCAUUUUAGACCAUUUCUACACUAGACCUCUCAUUAGCCAUGGUACUCUACUUCAUGUUAAGAAACAGUCAUUAACUAUGAAAGCAGAAUUCAGAUGCUAGCAACAUUUCCUAAACAGGCUAAGUACCUGGCUAUCAUUCAUCUCCUCAAACUACAAAAUCACUAUGUGACUCAACCUAAUUACACUAGGAUACGCACCUCCUUGGUUUUUAUUCAUUUUACUGUUUUGAGGAUCAAUGAAUUAAUAACCUUUAAAAAUAAAAACCCAAAACAUUUUCUUCACUGGCUUAUUUACUGAUUCCCUGUAAUUACUAUGACUACUCAUCUUUACAUGUAAUAGCUAAUCUUCAGGACAGUUUUUGAAGAUCCUUUCUCACGUGUGACAUAAAAUGUAGUCAUUUGGAAAAAUUUCUUCUAACCAGUAAGAGAUGUUCUUUUAAGAUGAUGUGAUGCCUAUUGCCAUCAUGUAGUAGGCAUAGUUGGACCCAGACAUUUUAGCUUGAUGGUGACUUCAAAUAGUGUAUUGUCUACCAUUUUGGUGGAAAUACAAACUUUUACAAAUGAAUAUAAAGAUGGCAGCUAAAGAUUUUGCCAGUACACUGAAGAGCUGUCCUUGUGGAUGUUUGAAUUGAAUCACAUAUGUCUCAAUAUUGUAAUUUACACUGUGGUUGACUUUAUUUUUUUUGCUAUGAGAUAUUCUUAGGCAUUAAGACAAUUCGUUUCUGAAGGAAGAAUUCACUUCUGACUCACAGACAAAUAUUUUAGGGAUAUUCCAAUUUGUAGAAAAUCUCAUUCCUUUACUUCACAGUUAAUUUAAGGUCCAGCCAUCUUCAGCUACUUUUAUUGAUACACUGGUUAAAUGUUGGAAAUGUUUUCUUUAUAUUCUUUCUCGUCUUCUAGACUGAUCUGAUUACUACAUGACUUAGUCUACGUAUCCUCAAACAAGGUUUAGGUCCAAUUGCUAUUGAUUGCUCACCCUUAGCAAAUUAAAAUCCGGAUGACUAUUUUGCUUGAGCAUAAAACUAGAAUGCAUAAAGAAGAAAUUAUCUACAAGUUCAUUUUUCUACUAACUUAAAAUUGUCAGCUAUUUUUUUCUCUCUGCUUUUUUCCUGUAUAUACUUUGCAGAAAAAAGACAUUGACCUUCGCUGCCAAUCAUCCCCUCUGACCUUGUACUCAUUUAAGAUGAGGGUGAUCAUCUGCUCAAGAAUCUUAUGUACACUGUGCAUAAAAAAUUGGUGAUUGGAAAAAGCCUAAAACUGAAACCCUAGGAGCUUACCUAUUCUCCAUGCCUGAGAUUUCAUCGAGAACUUCCAGUGUGCCAUCCAGCCAAUUUUGAAGCCUUGACUUGUAAGAAUUCUCAGAUGUGCUGAGUUACAGAAGAUGAAGACUUGAUAACCAAAGAAAGGGCUAACUUCAACAAACCCAGCACUACCACCCAUUUGCUUCCAGAUGUAGGAUAGACUCCCAAGUGAAACCUCAAGUCUGGACUAAGGAUAUGGCUUUCUCCUGAGCUGACAUUUCUUGGGCAGAUGAGCAGGAAGAGAAAGCCACUAUAUCUGACUAGUCCAUUGAGAUCAGAAAAUUGUAUCUAGCAUAAGCCCUAUGGAAUAACUGGAGUACCCAGGGCAAAAACUAUAGAUUCAUUUAUUCAUCUGCCUGUCCUUCCAGGUUAUAUCCUGGCUAUUAGUUUGACUGGCCCUGGUGAAGUUACCCUGGCUUGUCAGUUUACCUGUCUCAGCUUUUAACUGCCUUGUUCACUUAUUACUGCAAUCAACUGCUGACCUUGAGAAGACUACAGACAGUUUCAGCUUAUCUUGUCUCCAGUUCCACCAAGGAUUUUUAAAUAGAAAAAGGCUUGUACCUCACCCCACCAGGACUUAAUGUUCACAACAGAAAGUAUCAGUUGCACGCUCCUUGACCAACAGUUUUUUUUUUUUUAAUCUUUUUUUACAGUGGAGAGUAAGACACUUCACUUGCUCAUUUAUAGCACCUGGGACCUCUUCUACCACAUCUGGAAAGAGAACAGCACGUUGAAAGUAGAGUCCACUUCUCUCUUCUGCAGUAACACAAUGAGUCUUGAUUCAUCAGUGCUCACAGAAAUAUACUAUUGGCAAGACUUAAAGAAACAGAACAGUUGUCCACUAUGCUUAAAUUACCACUGACUCAAGUAGCCUCACAGAACUAUUUGCCAUUGGAGGCUAGUUGCCCUGCUUCCUGAUACCAAGAAGGGGCUCUGAAAAAAA